UUGAAACACUGGUUCCCGUACGAUCACCAAAUUUAAGCAAUGUCAAGCUUGGUCAGCAUUUAGAUGGGUGACCGUUUAGAAAUACCAGGUGCUGUAAG